rnacentral:rRNA from 1 species
UUAACACUGAGGCGUGACGACGAGGCACUACGGUGCUGAAGCAACAAAUGCCCUGCUUCCAGGAAAAGCCUCUAAGCAUCAGGUAACAUCAAAUCGUACCCCAAACCGACACAGGUGGUCAGGUAGAGAAUACCAAGGCGCUUGAGAGAACUCGGGUGAAGGAACUAGGCAAAAUGGUGCCGUAACUUCGGGAGAAGGCACGCUGACACGUAGGUGAAGUGAUUUACUCAUGGAGCUGAAGUCAGUCGAAGAUACCAGCUGGCUGCAACUGUUUAUUAAAAACACAGCACUGUGCAAACACGAAAGUGGACGUAUACGGUGUGACGCCUGCCCGGUGCCGGAAGGUUAAUUGAUGGGGUCAGCGCAAGCGAAGCUCCUGAUCGAAGCCCCGGUAAACGGCGGCCGUAACUAUAACGGUCCUAAGGUAGCGAAAUUCCUUGUCGGGUAAGUUCCGACCUGCACGAAUGGCGUAAUGAUGGCCAGGCUGUCUCCACCCGAGACUCAGUGAAAUUGAACUCGCUGUGAAGAUGCAGUGUACCCGCGGCAAGACGGAAAGACCCCGUGAACCUUUACUAUAGCUUGACACUGAACAUUGAGCCUUGAUGUGUAGGAUAGGUGGGAGGCUUUGAAGUGUGGACGCCAGUCUGCAUGGAGCCGACCUUGAAAUACCACCCUUUAAUGUUUGAUGUUCUAACGUGGACCCGUAAUCCGGGUUGCGGACAGUGUCUGGUGGGUAGUUUGACUGGGGCGGUCUCCUCCUAAAGAGUAACGGAGGAGCACGAAGGUUGGCUAAUCCUGGUCGGACAUCAGGAGGUUAGUGCAAUGGCAUAAGCCAGCUUGACUGCGAGCGUGACGGCGCGAGCAGGUGCGAAAGCAGGUCAUAGUGAUCCGGUGGUUCUGAAUGGAAGGGCCAUCGCUCAACGGAUAAAAGGUACUCCGGGGAUAACAGGCUGAUACCGCCCAAGAGUUCAUAUCGACGGCGGUGUUUGGCACCUCGAUGUCGGCUCAUCACAUCCUGGGGCUGAAGUAGGUCCCAAGGGUAUGGCUGUUCGCCAUUUAAAGUGGUACGCGAGCUGGGUUUAGAACGUCGUGAGACAGUUCGGUCCCUAUCUGCCGUGGGCGCUGGAGAACUGAGGGGGGCUGCUCCUAGUACGAGAGGACCGGAGUGGACGCAUCACUGGUGUUCGGGUUGUCAUGCCAAUGGCACUGCCCGGUAGCUAAAUGCGGAAGAGAUAAGUGCUGAAAGCAUCUAAGCACGAAACUUGCCCCGA